rnacentral:rRNA from 2 species
AAAUUGAAGAGUUUGAUCAUGGCUCAGAUUGAACGCUGGCGGCAGGCCUAACACAUGCAAGUCGAACGGUAACAGGAAGCAGCUUGCUGCUUCGCUGACGAGUGGCGGACGGGUGAGUAAUGUCUGGGAAACUGCCUGAUGGAGGGGGAUAACUACUGGAAACGGUAGCUAAUACCGCAUAACGUCGCAAGACCAAAGAGGGGGACCUUCGGGCCUCUUGCCAUCGGAUGUGCCCAGAUGGGAUUAGCUUGUUGGUGGGGUAACGGCUCACCAAGGCGACGAUCCCUAGCUGGUCUGAGAGGAUGACCAGCCACACUGGAACUGAGACACGGUCCAGACUCCUACGGGAGGCAGCAGUGGGGAAUAUUGCACAAUGGGCGCAAGCCUGAUGCAGCCAUGCCGCGUGUAUGAAGAAGGCCUUCGGGUUGUAAAGUACUUUCAGCGGGGAGGAAGGGAGUAAAGUUAAUACCUUUGCUCAUUGACGUUACCCGCAGAAGAAGCACCGGCUAACUCCGUGCCAGCAGCCGCGGUAAUACGGAGGGUGCAAGCGUUAAUCGGAAUUACUGGGCGUAAAGCGCACGCAGGCGGUUUGUUAAGUCAGAUGUGAAAUCCCCGGGCUCAACCUGGGAACUGCAUCUGAUACUGGCAAGCUUGAGUCUCGUAGAGGGGGGUAGAAUUCCAGGUGUAGCGGUGAAAUGCGUAGAGAUCUGGAGGAAUACCGGUGGCGAAGGCGGCCCCCUGGACGAAGACUGACGCUCAGGUGCGAAAGCGUGGGGAGCAAACAGGAUUAGAUACCCUGGUAGUCCACGCCGUAAACGAUGUCGACUUGGAGGUUGUGCCCUUGAGGCGUGGCUUCCGGAGCUAACGCGUUAAGUCGACCGCCUGGGGAGUACGGCCGCAAGGUUAAAACUCAAAUGAAUUGACGGGGGCCCGCACAAGCGGUGGAGCAUGUGGUUUAAUUCGAUGCAACGCGAAGAACCUUACCUGGUCUUGACAUCCACGGAAGUUUUCAGAGAUGAGAAUGUGCCUUCGGGAACCGUGAGACAGGUGCUGCAUGGCUGUCGUCAGCUCGUGUUGUGAAAUGUUGGGUUAAGUCCCGCAACGAGCGCAACCCUUAUCCUUUGUUGCCAGCGGUCCGGCCGGGAACUCAAAGGAGACUGCCAGUGAUAAACUGGAGGAAGGUGGGGAUGACGUCAAGUCAUCAUGGCCCUUACGACCAGGGCUACACACGUGCUACAAUGGCGCAUACAAAGAGAAGCGACCUCGCGAGAGCAAGCGGACCUCAUAAAGUGCGUCGUAGUCCGGAUUGGAGUCUGCAACUCGACUCCAUGAAGUCGGAAUCGCUAGUAAUCGUGGAUCAGAAUGCCACGGUGAAUACGUUCCCGGGCCUUGUACACACCGCCCGUCACACCAUGGGAGUGGGUUGCAAAAGAAGUAGGUAGCUUAACCUUCGGGAGGGCGCUUACCACUUUGUGAUUCAUGACUGGGGUGAAGUCGUAACAAGGUAACCGUAGGGGAACCUGCGGUUGGAUCAC